ensembl:lncRNA
UCAAUUAGCAUGUCAGAACGAAGUCCACUGUCCACUUAAGCCAUAAAACGUCUUGGUUACGUAUGUAACCCUCGUUCCCUGAAGGAGGGAACGGAGACGUUACGAAUGGGAUCUCGCCCGAGAGCCCAAUCACCUUCGAGUGGUACAAAACGAGCCAAUGGUACGCAAAGUACCUUGGUCUGCGGGAUUUGCAUCGCGAGCUCCGCCCCGCAAAGCGGGUAUAUAAGGAGCAACGCGAGCAACUCGCAUUCAAGUCUUCGCUGAGGAGCCGAGCCAGUGACCCGGCCAUUCAGCGGAACAGCGAUGUGGCAAGGGGACGUAACGUCUCCGUUCCCUCCUUCAGGGAACGAGGGUUACAUACGUAACCAAGAGGUUCCCUUUCAGUCGGUCACGUUCGACGUUACGAAUGGGGUCCCUUACAAAACGCCACAUGGCUGUCUUCCAGCGACCCUUGUGAGUGAUAGCACCCUGUCGUGAGGCCAGCACGAGUGAGGGCCUAUAGCUCGUACAGAAUACACUGGGUAGCAUAUUCCAGCUGGAUGUAUGCUAGCAGGCCGCCUGCCCGUGGGAGGACUUACCGAAGGCAGGUAUCUACCAAGGCGGUGAUACAUAAGAACUCUGAGGUACCCAGCCCGCAGGGUGGAAGUUUCAACGACAGAGCUGGCAAGGGGCUUGCCAAGGGAAAGACACAUGCUGCAGAGAGACUUACUGUGGAGAUACACACGUGGGAUUACCCAGAAGAGGGGAAUCACAACACAUGGAGGCACCUAGUCCCACACAGGGCUGACCAAAGGGCAUGUACGCAAGUGUUGGACAUCAACAGUGCUGGAGGAACCCAGGGUUCCGACUGAUAGAACCACUGCGAGGUCCCAAGAGGGGACUUGCUGAGGGCGAGGCGGGUUAAGCCUCCUUGCUCCUCUCAGGAACCUGAUGAUCAGAUCGUGCCUCCCAAGAGACUUACCUUCAACAGGGUCAUGGUGAGCCGAAAUGGCGGCCACAUAGACUUUGAGGGUGGAAGGAGACAGCCUUCGUUCCAACCCCUCCUGAAGAAAGGAAAGCACUGACCCAAUCGGACAUUUCCAGGGGUCCUCACGCCGUGAAGAACACCAAGUGACGAAGAGGUUCCAUUUCAAAGCAUAGGCGUGUCUGGUGGACAUGGCUCUAGCUGAAGUGAUGGUAGCUACCACCUGUGGUGGCAAGGUACCUAAACCUUCCGUGACCCGUCCAGAACCCACACAUGUAGGUUCCACAGAUCGGGACGUGGGUGCCAGAGGGUGCCCCGUCUCUGAGAAAGAAGGUCCUUCCUCAGAGGAAUUGGCCAGGGAGGGGCUGUCGCGAGGAGUACAAGUUCGGGGAACCAGGUCCGGCCGGGCCAAAAAGGCGCAACCAUGAGGACCUGCUCCUCGUCCUCCCUGAUCUUGCACAACGUCUGUGCAAGAAGGCUCACUGGGGGAACGCAUACUUGCGCAGGCCCAGCGGCCAGCUGUGUGCCAGGGCGUCCGUGCCGAGGGUGCCCUCGGUCAGGGAGUAAAACAACUGGCAGUGGGAAUUUUCUGGAGAGGCAAACAGGUCUACCUGAGCGUCUCCGAAGUGUUCCCAAAUCAGCUGAACCGACUGGGGGUGGAGUCUCCAUUCCCGGGGCGAGACUGCUGCCGUGAGAGCUCGUCGGCUGCACGAUUGAGCCUGCCCGGGAUGUGAAUGGCACGAGCGACCUCAGAUGCUUGUGACUCCACAAGAGGAGAUGGCGAGCGAGUUGCGACAUGCGGCGGGAGCGUAGACCACCCUGACGGUUGAUGUACGCUACGGUCGCAGUGUUGUCCGUACGGACCAGAACGUGCUUGUCCUUCAGCAGGGCCCUGAAGCGGUGCAGAGCAAGACGUACUGCUAGCAACUCGAGGCAAUUGACAUGCCACUGAAGUCGGGGUCCUGUCCAGGAGCCCGAUGCAGCAUGCCCGUUGCACAUGGCACCCCAGCCCGUGGCAGAGGCAUCUGUUGACACAACAACAUGUCUGGACACCGGUUGUAGGGGCACGCCGGCCCGUAGAAACAAGGGGUCCAACCACGGGGUGAAGUUUCGGCGGCAGGCCGGAGUGAUGGUCACUCGGAGCGUGCCCCGUUGCCAUGCCCAUCUCGGGACUCGGUCGUGAAGCCAGUGCUGAAGCGGUCUCAUAUGGAGUAACCCGAGUGGUAUGACUGCCGCCGCGGACGCCAUAUGCCCCAGGAGCCUCUGAAACAGUUUCAGUGGAACCGCUCUCUUGCCCUCGAAUUGUCUCAGGCAAUUCAGCAGUGACUGCGUGCGCUCGUCUGUAAGCUGCGCGAACAUGGCGACCGAGUCUAUUUCCAUACCGAGAAAAGAGAUCCUCUGCACAGGGGAGAGCUUGCUCUUUUCCCAGUUGACCUGAAGACCCAGUCGGGCAAGGUGUCUGAGCACCAGAUCCCUGUGCUCGCACAACCGUUCUCGAGAGUGAGCUAGGAUCAGCCAGUCGUCGAGGUAGUUGAGGAUACGGACACCUUGUUCCCUGAGAGGAGCCAGGGCUCCCUCCGCGACCUUCGUAAAGACGCGGGGAGACAGGGCCAACCCGAAUGGGAGAACCUUGUACUGAUAUGCCUGCCCCUCGAAAGCAAACCGAAGAAACGGUCUGUGUCGAGGAAGAAUGGAGACAUGAAAGUACGCGUCCUUCAGGUCGAUCGCUGCAAACCAAUCCAUAGGACGAAUGCAUUCGAAAAUGCGCUUGGGCGUUAGCAUCUUGAACGGGAGUCUUUGCAGAGCUCGGUUCAAAACACGCAAGUCCAGGAUUGGCCGUAACCCACCUGUCUUCUUGGGUACUAUGAAGUAAGGGCUGUAAAAGCCGGACUUCAUGUCGGCUGGAGGGACCGGCUCUAUCGCGCCCUUUGCCAGCAGGGUCGCGACCUCCGCGCGCAUGACAGGGGCAUCCUUGCCCACCAUCGUCGCGCGGACACCCCGAAACCUGGGGGGACGCCGGGCGAACUGAAUCGCGUAGCCGAGCCUGAGCGUCCGGAUGAGCCAGCGGGAAGGCCUGGGGAGCUCUAGCCAGGCUCCCAGAAACCGAACCAGCGGGGUCAAGGGGACUACAGGCGUACCCACGGUGGGGCAGCGUGGUGGAGCAGACAGCCCCAGCAUGGGAGGCAUAGCGUCCCUUAGCGGGGGCGGAGUGCGGGCACUCGUCUGACUCCAAGCAGCAAAGAGGGCAUGAGAAGGCGAAGCGUUCUCGAGCCGGCUUUGCAUAGAAACUGGCAAGGGGAGAGGAGAACGAGAGCGGCGAGGAAGCACGUCGCCAACUGUCGUUCGUGGCCUCUUGGGACCCGGAGGUAGAGGAAACAGCUCUUUUAGUGAAGGUUUGGUACCACCGGCCGCAGGGCCAGUGGCGGAACAAAAUGAAAAUGAGAACAAAGGAUUCUCCCCCGGCCCUCCUCCGGGGGAAGGAGUGGUCCUGCUACCAUCUCCUGACGAGCUGACGUCUCCAACUCCGGGUCGCCGUCUCAGGAACGCCGCUUGGCCUGGCGUUUGGCAGGCUUAGGGGCAGAGACGGGUUGCGCCGCCCUUCUGCGGCCAUCUCCUCGCUGCGGCCGGGGUGAAGGCUGCUGCUGUGGCCGAGCGGGAGUGGAGGAGGCCACAGGGGGGCGCCCUCGGCGACGAGCAGGCUGCGGCGGCUGCGGCGGCUGCGCCGGCGGCGGGGUGAAAGCAGCAGUGGGCCGCCGGGGCAGGAUGUGUCUGAUGGCCUCAGACUGCUUCUGGGCGGCAGAGAACUGCUGGGCAAAGCUCUCUACCGAGUCGCCGAAGAGGCCAUCCUGGGAGACCGGGGAGUUGAGGAGCUGAGCCCGAUCAGACUCCCUCAUAUCUGCCAGGUUCAGCCAUAGGUGGCGCUCCUGGACCACCAAAGUGGACAUCACCUGACCCAAGGAGCGCGCAGUGACCUUCGUCGCCCGGAGAGCGAGGUCGGUAGCAGUGCGUGCCUCCUGCAAAACCCCUGGGUCAGCACUGCCCUCGUGCAGCUGCCGGAGCAGCUUGGCCUGAUAGACCUGAAGUGAGGCCAUGGCAUGCAAGGCAGAGGCGGCCUGGCCCGCAGCUCUGUAAGCCUUGGCCACAAGAGUGGAUGAGAACUUACAGGCCUUGGAGGGCAGCUUGGGACCACCACGCCAAGCGGAGGCGCUCUGUGGACACAGUUGCAUCGCAACAGAACGCUCCACCGGGGGAAUCCCAGCAUACCCCUUGGCCGCCCCCACCAUCGAGGGCAGUGAAGGCGGAGGAAGUACCAGAACGGUUUCG